UCUUUAGACCUGUGCAAUGGGUUUGUGAGUUAACGUGUCAGGGUAGGAAUACAGCAGCACGACUUACUUGCUCAUGUGCCGCAGCCAUCUGGAGGGGA
rnacentral:SRP_RNA from 1 species